rnacentral:rRNA from 1 species
AGUGAACGCUGGCGGUAGGCCUAACACAUGCAAGUCGAACGGCAGCACAGUAAGAGCUUGCUCUUACGGGUGGCGAGUGGCGGACGGGUGAGGAAUACAUCGGAAUCUACUUUUUCGUGGGGGAUAACGUAGGGAAACUUACGCUAAUACCGCAUACGACCUACGGGUGAAAGCAGGGGAUCUUCGGACCUUGCGCGUUUGAAUGAGCCGAUGUCGGAUUAGCUAGUUGGCGGGGUAAAGGCCCACCAAGGCGACGAUGCGUAGCUGGUCUGAGAGGAUGAUCAGCCACACUGGAACUGAGACACGGUCCAGACUCCUACGGGAGGCAGCAGUGGGGAAUAUUGGACAAUGGGCGCAAGCCUGAUCCAGCCAUACCGCGUGAGUGAAGAAGGCCUUCGGGUUGUAAAGCCCUUUUGUUGGGAAAGAAAAGCAGCAGGAUAAUACCUCGCUGUUCUGACGGUACCCAAAGAAUAAGCACCGGCUAACUUCGUG